UGGGGAAUAUUGGACAAUGGGCGAAAGCCUGAUCCAGCCAUGCCGUGUGUGUGAAGAAGGUCUUCGGAUUGUAAAGCACUUUAAGUUGGGAGGAAGGGCAGUAAGCGAAUACCUUGCUGUUUUGACGUUACCGACAGAAUAAGCACCGGCUAACUCUGUGCCAGCAGCCGCGGUAAUACAGAGGGUGCAAGCGUUAAUCGGAAUUACUGGGCGUAAAGCGCGCGUAGGUGGUUCGUUAAGUUGAAUGUGAAAGCCCCGGGCUCAACCUGGGAACUGCAUCCAAAACUGGCGAGCUAGAGUAGGGCAGAGGGUGGUGGAAUUUCCUGUGUAGCGGUGAAAUGCGUAGAUAUAGGAAGGAACACCAGUGGCGAAGGCGACCACCUGGGCUCAUACUGACACUGAGGUGCGAAAGCGUGGGGAGCAAACAGG
rnacentral:rRNA from 1 species